GAUGAACGCUGGCGGCGUGCCUAAUACAUGCAAGUCGAGCGAACAGACGAGGAGCUUGCUCCUCUGACGUUAGCGGCGGACGGGUGAGUAACACGUGGAUAACCUACCUAUAAGACUGGGAUAACUUCGGGAAACCGGAGCUAAUACCGGAUAAUAUAUUGAACCGCAUGGUUCAAUAGUGAAAGACGGUUUUGCUGUUACUUAUAGAUGGAUCCGCGCCGCAUUAGCUAGUUGGUAAGGUAACGGCUUACCAAGGCGACGAUGCGUAGCCGACCUGAGAGGGUGAUCGGCCACACUGGAACUGAGACACGGUCCAGACUCCUACGGGAGGCAGCAGUAGGGAAUCUUCCGCAAUGGGCGAAAGCCUGACGGAGCAACGCCGCGUGAGUGAUGAAGGUCUUCGGAUCGUAAAACUCUGUUAUUAGGGAAGAACAAAUGUGUAAGUAACUAUGCACGUCUUGACGGCACCUAAUCAGAAAGCCACGGCUAACUACGUG
rnacentral:rRNA from 1 species